UACAGAGGGUGCGAGCGUUAAUCGGAAUUACUGGGCGUAAAGCGCGCGUAGGCGGCUUUUCAAGUCGAUUGUGAAAUCCCCGGGCUUAACCUGGGAACUGCAGUCGAGACUGUCUAGCUAGAGUAUGGGAGAGGGAAGUGGAAUUUCAGGUGUAGCGGUGAAAUGCGCAGAUAUCAGGAGGAACACCGGUGGCGAAGGCGGUUCUCUGGGCAACAACUGACGCUGAGGAGCGAAAGCGUGGGGAGCGAACAGG
rnacentral:rRNA from 1 species